UACGUAGGGAGCAAGCGUUGUCCGGAAUCAUUGGGCGUAAAGCGCGCGUAGGUGGCCCCGUAAGUCCGCUGUGAAAGUCAAAGGCUCAACCUUUGAAAGCCGGUGGAUACUGUGGGACUAGAGUACGGAAGAGGCGAGUGGAAUUCCUGGUGUAGCGGUGGAAUGCGCAGAUAUCAGGAGGAACACCAAUAGCGAAGGCAGCUCGCUGGGACGUUACUGACACUGAGGCACGAAAGCCAGGGGAGCAAACGGG
rnacentral:rRNA from 1 species